rnacentral:hammerhead_ribozyme from 1 species
AUCUAGCCGACGAGUCCCAAAUAGGACUAAAUGCGCAUCACGGUU